AUUUUUUUUAUUCAUCAGUUCAUCAGCAUCGGAGUGGAUCAGACCUCUAUCAAUUCUUCAAGUUUCCUAAUAUCUUGCUGGCUGGCUCAGCAGAAAUCAGUCCUGUACAGUUUUCUACCUUCGAUUGCUAAAGUCAGCGAUGGUAUUUGGAAGAACAUGACUUGGACUAACGAUAGCGUUUACAGGUUCACGGAUUUGGAACCAUAUACAGAUUACAAUGUGACUGUAUAUGUUCAGGACAGUAAAUCGAAUAAGGUUUACCCUUCGAUGAAAUAUGUUACGACCAAAA